AGCAGCAUGGCGCAGUUGGAAGCGCGUUGGGCUCAUACGCUCCAGUUACGUCAACCCAAAGGUCGCUCGAUCGAAACGAGCUGCUGCUA